rnacentral:lncRNA from 1 species
CGAGGAGCCAAUCGCAGCGAAGCGCGAGCCUCGCGUGGGGAGGCGGGAAAGCGCGGAGAUCUGCGGCGCGCGGCGCUGUUGCUGAGGCAACGACGGCCUCGCGGGCGCCCCUCAGCGAGCGGCGGCCGCCAGCCCUGAGCAACCCGCUUGGCGGCGGCGUUGGUCGCUUUCUGCAGCGACAGUAAUGUUUUUAAUCGACGCUUUGAAUCAGGACGUUAAUUUAUGCACUAAUUAUUCUCAACUGAAUUGCCCGGUCCAAUGAAGCGUAGCUAUCUUUUCUCCUACCUACACCGGUCCUUAGUUCUUUUAUGUGUGGAGAAACUUUCACAUCCGGCAACAAAGUGGAAGAAUGCAGAAACCAAUAAAAAUGGGAGUCUUUUUCGGUUAAUGAUACUGAAAAUAUCAAGAGCAAAAUCCCAAGUCUGUACGAGGAGAGAACUGUCUGUCAUGGAUGUUGUAGAAACUUGGUAUGAUUUGUAUUUUUAACUCACUUCCUUGCAAGAAAAAAAAUAAGUUCUUGUGACCAUUGUCAGUCUGUCCUGUAUUUUGGAGGUGUUGAGUUCAAGGCACUGAGGGCAGUGACAAGCCUUUAUUAUUUCAAAACCCUUUGAAGUUCCUACCUGUACAUGUAGGUACAUGUACAUUCUGAUAUCUGAAUUUUUAGAUGUAAAUAGGAGAGCCAAUGUUGGCAGUUCUAGUCCUGUACUGAUUUUUAAAACCUGUCUUUUUAGUUUUAUUGAGUAAACAUUUAAAGUCAUUAAAAGCUUAUUUUGUAACCUUUUAAGAUUACUUUAAUAAUGAAGAAU